ACGUAGGUGGCAAGCGUUGUUCGGAAUUAUUGGGCGUAAAGGGCGCGUAGGCGGUUUGGUAAGUCAGCUGUGAAAGCCCGGGGCUCAACCCCGGAGGGUCGGCUGAUACUGCUAGGCUAGAGUACAGAAGAGGUAACUGGAAUUCCCGGUGUAGCGGUGAAAUGCGUAGAUAUCCGGAGGAACACCGACGGCGAAGGCAGCGCCCUGGACGAGACCUGACGCUCAGGCACGAAAGCUGGGGGAGCAAACAGGA
rnacentral:rRNA from 1 species